rnacentral:rRNA from 1 species
AGUGAACGCUGGCGGUAGGCCUAACACAUGCAAGUCGAACGGCAGCACAGUAAGAGCUUGCUCUUACGGGUGGCGAGUGGCGGACGGGUGAGGAAUACAUCGGAAUCUACUUUUUCGUGGGGGAUAACGUAGGGAAACUUACGCUAAUACCGCAUACGACCUACGGGUGAAAGCAGGGGAUCUUCGGACCUUGCGCGAUUGAAUGAGCCGAUGUCGGAUUAGCUAGUUGGCGGGGUAAAGGCCCACCAAGGCGACGAUCCGUAGCUGGUCUGAGAGGAUGAUCAGCCACACUGGAACUGAGACACGGUCCAGACUCCUACGGGAGGCAGCAGUGGGGAAUAUUGGACAAUGGGCGCAAGCCCGAUCCAGCCAUACCGCGUGGGUGAAGAAGACCUUCGGGUUGUAAAGCCCUUUUGUUGGGAAAGAAAAGCAGCAGGUUAAUACCCCGCUGUUCUGACGGUACCCAAAGAAUAAGCACCGGCUAACUUCGUG